rnacentral:rRNA from 1 species
UACGUAGGGUGCGAGCGUUAAUCGGAAUUACUGGGCGUAAAGCGUGCGCAGGCGGUUUUUUAGGACAGGCGUGAAAUCCCCGGGCUUAACCUGGGAACUGCGCUUGUGACUGGAAGGCUAGAGUACGGCAGAGGGGGGUGGAAUUCCACGUGUAGCAGUGAAAUGCGUAGAGAUGUGGAGGAACACCGAUGGCGAAGGCAGCCCCCUGGGCCGAUACUGACGCUCAUGCACGAAAGCGUGGGGAGCAAACAGG